rnacentral:rRNA from 1 species
AAUGAACGCUGGCGGCAGGCCUAAAACAUGCAAGUCGAACGCUGUAGCAAUACAGAGUGGCGCACGGGUGAGUAACAUGUGGGAAUAUGCCUUUUGGUACGGAACAACGUUUGGAAACGAACGCUAAUGCCGUAUGGUCCCUUCGGGGUAAAGAUUUAUCGCCAAAAGAUUAGCCCGCACUGGAUUAGCUAGUUGGUAGGGUAAUGGCCUACCAAGGCGACGAUCCAUAGCUGGCUGAGAGGACGAUCAGCCACACUGGGACUGAGACACGGCCAGACUCCUACGGGAGGCAGCAGUUAGGAAUAUUGGACAAUGGGCGCAAGCCUGAUCCAGCCAUGCCGCGUGAGUGAUGAAGGCC